rnacentral:tRNA from 1 species
GCCCUCAUCGUCUAGUGGUCCAGGACGCUGCCCUCUCACGGCAGAGAUCGCGGGUUCAAAUCCCGCUGGGGGUA